GUUUGGAAUAUUUUUUAUUAGAACAUUUUUUGACCUUUCUGAUGAUCUUGGUGGGCUUCGAAGAGUUGGAUCAAUUGCAGCGUUUGUACACCUUUCAAACCCAUUCAUUUCAUCAACAUCUUUUUAUAUUGAGGGAGGGGUAAAGUUGGAAACUUACCUUCGCAACAAUGUGUAUCGCCUUUAAGUGGAUAGAUUCUUCCUUCCUUGCCCUCCUGCUCCUCAAGAUCCGCAUACUGCUGCUUGAAUCGAUUCAUACCACUGAAAUAGGAUAAAGGGUACUCUUGCAGUAUCUGGGGGUGACACUCUAGGAUUUGUGACUUGAAAAGGACGAAAAUACCCCUGAGCAAAUGCAUGCUAAAUAAAGGAAAGGUGGGAAUUGAUUUGCUACCAAAUAUAGCGAGAUUUGAGAAUUUGACAGUUGUCUUGAUACACGAGUUGGUGGUGUUGUCUUUUCUUAUAUUUAAAAUUUUAAGAAACAACUUGACUUUAGAAUGAAUUAAAGAGUUAUCCAUUACAUUAUUUAGUAUAAAAUGCUUUUGUUUAGUUGCAAAUUUUGUUACGUGAGUAAAAUUGCAGAUUUAGCA